UUGCUAGGCCCCGGCCUAGUCUCACAAGAGACAGAUAU
rnacentral:misc_RNA from 1 species